UACGGAGGGUGCAAGCGUUUAAUCGGAAUUACUGGGCGUAAAGCGUGCGCAGGCGGUUUGUUAAGUCCGUUGUGAAAGCCCCGAGCUCAACUUGGGAAUUGCAGUGGAUACUGGCAGGCUGGAGUACGGUAGAGGAAGGUGGAAUUCCCGGUGUAGCAGUGAAAUGCGUAGAUAUCGGGAGGAGCACCAGUGGCGAAGGCGGCCUUCUGGACCAGUACUGACGCUCAUGCACGAAAGCGUGGGGAGCAAACAGG
rnacentral:rRNA from 1 species